rnacentral:sRNA from 1 species
UCCAUAUUCUCUUGUGCUGCUAUAACUUC